rnacentral:rRNA from 1 species
GAUGAACUCUAGCUACAGGCUUAACACAUGCAAGUCGAGGGGCAGCAUGGUCUUAGCUUGCUAAGGCCGAUGGCGACCGGCGCACGGGUGAGUAACACGUAUCCAACCUGCCGUCUACUCUUGGACAGCCUUCUGAAAGGAAGAUUAAUACAAGAUGGCAUCAUGAGUCCGCAUGUUCACAUGAUUAAAGGUAUUCCGGUAGACGAUGGGGAUGCGUUCCAUUAGAUAGUAGGCGGGGUAACGGCCCACCUAGUCUUCGAUGGAUAGGGGUUCUGAGAGGAAGGUCCCCCACAUUGGAACUGAGACACGGUCCAAACUCCUACGGGAGGCAGCAGUGAGGAAUAUUGGUCAAUGGGCGAGAGCCUGAACCAGCCAAGUAGCGUGAAGGAUGACUGCCCUAUGGGUUGUAAACUUCUUUUAUAAAGGAAUAAAGUCGGGUAUGGAUACCCGUUUGCAUGUACUUUAUGAAUAAGGAUCGGCUAACUCCGUGCCAGCAGCCGCGGUAAUACGGAGGAUCCGAGCGUUAUCCGGAUUUAUUGGGUUUAAAGGGAGCGUAGAUGGAUGUUUAAGUCAGUUGUGAAAGUUUGCGGCUCAACCGUAAAAUUGCAGUUGAUACUGGAUAUCUUGAGUGCAGUUGAGGCAGGCGGAAUUCGUGGUGUAGCGGUGAAAUGCUUAGAUAUCACGAAGAACUCCGAUUGCGAAGGCAGCCUGCUAAGCUGCAACUGACAUUGAGGCUCGAAAGUGUGGGUAUCAAACAGGAUUAGAUACCCUGGUAGUCCACACGGUAAACGAAGAAUACUCGCUGUUGCGGAUAUACAGCAAGCGGCCAAGCGAAAGCGUUAAGUAUUCCACCUGGGGAGUACGCCGGCAACGGUGAAACUCAAAGGAAUUGACGGGGGCCCGCACAAGCGGAGGAACAUGUGGUUUAAUUCGAUGAUACGCGAGGAACCUUACCCGGGCUUAAAUUGCAGAUGAAUUACGGUGAAAGCCGUAAGCCGCAAGGCAUCUGUGAAGGUGCUGCAUGGUUGUCGUCAGCUCGUGCCGUGAGGUGUCGGCUUAAGUGCCAUAACGAGCGCAACCCUUGUUGUCAGUUACUAACAGGUCAUGCUGAGGACUCUGACAAGACUGCCAUCGUAAGAUGUGAGGAAGGUGGGGAUGACGUCAAAUCAGCACGGCCCUUACGUCCGGGGCUACACACGUGUUACAAUGGGGGGUACAGAGGGCCGCUACCACGCGAGUGGAUGCCAAUCCCAAAAACCUCUCUCAGUUCGGACUGGAGUCUGCAACCCGACUCCACGAAGCUGGAUUCGCUAGUAAUCGCGCAUCAGCCACGGCGCGGUGAAUACGUUCCCGGGCCUUGCACACACCGCCCG